AAUGAACGCUGGCGGCAUGGAUUAGGCAUGCAAGUCGAACGGGCCGUUUUUCGCAAGAGAGACGGUUAGUGGCGAAAGGGUGAGUAACACGUGAGCAACCUGCCCUCGAGUUCGGGAUAGCCCGCGGAAACGUGGAUUAAUACCGAAUGUGGUACCCUGUCUCAUGGCGGGGCUACUGAAGAUUUAUCGCUCGGGGAUGGACUCGCGGCCCAUAAGCUUGUUGGCGGGGUAACGGCCCACCAAGGCUAUGACGGGUAGGUGGUCUGAGAGGAUGAUCAGCCACACUGGGACUGAGACACGGCCCAGACUCCUACGGGAGGCAGCAGUAGGGAAUAUUGCGCAAUGGGGGAAACCCUGACGCAGCGACGCCGCGUGAGUGAUGAAGGCCUUUCUGGUUGUAAAGCUCUGUAAGGAGGGAAGAAUGUCAGGCAGUAACGUGUCUGAGUGACGGUACCUCCGGAGUAAGGACCGGCUAAAUACGUGCCAGCAGCCGGGUAAACUGU
rnacentral:rRNA from 1 species